UACGUAGGGAGCGAGCGUUGUCCGGAUUUACUGGGUGUAAAGGGUGCGUAGGCGGGUUUGCAAGUCAGGCGUGAAAUACCGAGGCUUAACUUCGGAGCUGCGCUUGAAACUGUAAAUCUUGAGUGAAGUAGAGGCAGGCGGAAUUCCCAGUGUAGCGGUGAAAUGCGUAGAUAUUGGGAGGAACACCAGUGGCGAAGGCGGCCUGCUGGGCUUUAACUGACGCUGAGGCACGAAAGUAUGGGGAGCAAAC
rnacentral:rRNA from 1 species